AGAGUAGAAAACCAAGUCCCAAGGACAUAUUUAGAAUACCGUAUCUCUCCAACUUGUUUUCUCCGAUUUGAAAUUCAUCAGAAUGAUUGCAUCCCACACUUGGAAUGGAUUAGCAUCAUAAGAUAUCAUAAUUUACCUUUUUCUUCAUUUUUUAUUAUUAAUGGUCAACUUGUAGCACACCGACUUAGUCCUAGGCUGGGAUGGGC
rnacentral:lncRNA from 1 species